ACCACCAACCAGACGUUCAACAAACGACCAUGAUGACUUUAACUAAAUGUCUCACAUUUCUGCUGCUGUCAGCCAUUUCUGGUGUUUGCAGUCAGACUCUGACUGAAUCUGAACCGGUGGUGAAGCGGCCCGGAGAAUCCCACAAACUGACGUGUACAUAUGCAGGGAUAUCUGAUGACUCUGCUCCUAUCAGCUGGAUCAGACAAGCUGAAGGAAAAGGCCUGGAGUGGGUUGCCUUCAUUUCUGCUUCAUCAGCAGACACUAAAUAUUAUUCAGCAUCUGUCAAGAAUCGCUUCACAAUUUCCAGAAACAACGACAUGGACCAGGUGUAUCUGCACAUGAGCAGCCUGACGACUGAAGACUGUGCUGUUUAUUAGUGUGCUCGAGAGCCA